GCCCCCGUGCUGAAACUGGUACACGGACGCGACUCAAAAUCGUGCGGGGAAACCCAUGUCGGUUCAAGUCCGACCGGGGGCACCA
rnacentral:tRNA from 1 species